GACGAGCCACACGAACGUUAUUCGGAAUUACUGGGCUUAAAGAGUUCGUAGGCGGCAUGAAAAGUAGGGUGUGAAAGCCCUCGGCUCAACCGAGGAAUUGCGCUCUAAACUGUCGUGCUAGAGGAAGCUAGAGGUGAGCGGAACUGAUGGUGGAGCGGUGAAAUGCGUUGAUAUCAUCAGGAACACCGGAGGCGAAGGCGGCUCACUGGGGCUUUUCUGACGCUGAGGAACGAAAGCCAGGGUAGCGAACGGG
rnacentral:rRNA from 1 species